rnacentral:misc_RNA from 1 species
ACGUCAUCCCCACCUUCCUCCGAGUUGACCCCGGCAGUAUCCCAUGAGUUCCCACCAUUACGUGCUGGCAACAUAGAACGAGGGUUGCGCUCGUUGCGGGACUUAACCCAACAUCUCACGACACGAGCUGACGACAACCAUGCACCACCUGUUUACGAGUGUCCAAAGAGUUGACCAUUUCUGGCCCGUUCUCGUAUAUGUCAAGCCUUGGUAAGGUUCUUCGCGUUGCAUCGAAUUAAUCCGCAUGCUCCGCCGCUUGUGCGGGUCCCCGUCAAUUCCUUUGAGUUUUAGCCUUGCGGCCGUACUCCCCAGGCGGGGAACUUAAUGCGUUAGCUGCGUCACGGAAACCGUGGAAUGGUCCCCACAACUAGUUCCCAACGUUUACGGGGUGGACUACCAG